rnacentral:misc_RNA from 1 species
CGCACAUUGCGCCCCUUGGUAUUCCAUGGGGCAUGCCUGUUCGAGCGUCAUUUGUACCUUCAAGCUUUGCUUGGUGAUGGGUGUUUGUCCGAUCCUUCUGCGAUGGGACUCGCCUUAAAAUUAUUGGCAGCCGGCAUAUUGGCCUUUGGAGCGCAGCACAUUUUGCGAUCUAAGCCUGUAUACUGGUAUCCAUAAAGCCUUAUCAUCACUUUUGACCUCGGAUCAGGUAGGGAUACCCGCUGAACUUAA